rnacentral:misc_RNA from 1 species
GAAAUGCGAUAAGUAAUGUGAAUUGCAGAAUUCAGUGAAUCAUCGAAUCUUUGAACGCACAUUGCGCCCGGCAGUAUUCUGCCGGGCAUGCCUGUCCGAGCGUCAUUUCAACCCUCGGGACCCCGUUUAGGCGGGGACCCGGCGUUGGGGACCGGCAUCCAGCCAGCCCCGAAAUCUAGUGGCGGUCCCUCCGCGACCUCCCCUGUGCAGUAGCGAUACCUCGCAGCGGGACAGCGGUCUGACCACGCCGUAAAACCCCCAACUUCUCAAGGUUGACCUCGAAUCAGGUAGGAAUACCCGCUGAACUUAAGC